CUAUAAAAGAUGUAACAGAUGCAAACUGUAACACAAGGGCCGUUAACCCUUUCCCUGCCGACGAGCACGCUCGGUCCCGUGCCCCGCACCCAUUGUCUCCUGUGCUAGAUGCUUUGCGGAAAACCUGGAA
rnacentral:lncRNA from 1 species